GAGAUGUUAGUAAAGUAAUUACGUAGCCUUGUCAAGACUACAUCACUGGUGGAAACCCAGUACAUCUCA
rnacentral:tRNA from 1 species